AGGUAGAAGAAGAAGUGUUUAUAAGAAAAUAGAAGAUGGGAAAGAUGAAUGAAAUAGACAAUACCGGAAGAGUGGCUCUGAUACCACUUGAUAGAACCAAAAUAAGGAUGACUCUUUCGGUAAGGUUGAUAUGAACUCAGAUCCUAGAGGAUUGAGAACUGAUGGAUCGAGGGGUGACACUAAGGGUUGCGGAAUAGCCCAAAGAUACUACCAGACUUCGAUCGUUGCCGGAUGUGACGCACCGGUCCAACAAAAGAAGGAUCAAAAC
rnacentral:lncRNA from 1 species